GAUGAACGCUGGCGGCGUGCCUAUACAUGCAAGUCGAGCGAAUGGAUUAAGAGCUUGCUCUUAUGAAGUUAGCGGCGGACGGGUGAGUAACACGUGGGUAACCUGCCCAUAAGACUGGGAUAACUCCGGGAAACCGGGGCUAAUACCGGAUAACAUUUUGAACCGCAUGGUUCGAAAUUGAAAGGCGGCUUCGGCUGUCACUUAUGGAUGGACCCGCGUCGCAUUAGCUAGUUGGUGAGGUAACGGCUCACCAAGGCAACGAUGCGUAGCCGGCCUGGGAGGGUGGUCGGCCACACUGGGACUGAGACACGGCCCAGACUCCUACGGGAGGCAGCAGUAGGGAAUCUUCCGCAAUGGACGAAAGUCUGACGGAGCAACGCCGCGUGAGUGAUGAAGGCUUUCGGGUCGUAAAACUCUGUUGUUAGGGAAGAACAAGUGCUAGUUGAAUAAGCUGGCACCUUGACGGUACCUAACCAGAAAGCCACGGCUAACUACGUGCCAGCCGCCGCGGUAA
rnacentral:rRNA from 1 species